UUACGGCCAUAUCACGAUGAAACACCGGUUCCCGUACGACCACCGAAGUUAAGCAAUAUCGAGCCUGGCCAGUAUAGGUACUGGACCGCUUGGGAAUACAAAGUGCUGUAA